AUACUUACUUAGCAGGGGACGACACCAUGAUCAUGAAGGUGGUUCACCCAGGGUGAGGCUCAGCCAUUGCACUUCGGUUGCGCUGACCCUUGCGAAUUCCCCAAAUGCAAGAAUCUCGACUGCAUAAUUUCUGGUAGUAGGGGACUGCAUUCGCACUCUCCCCUG